rnacentral:rRNA from 1 species
UACGUAAGGGGCAAGCGUUGUCCGGAAUCACUGGGCGUAAAGCGCGCGUAGGCGGUUUGAUAAGUUGGGUGUGAAAUCCCCGGGCUCAACCCGGGAACUGCGCCCAAAACUGUCUCACUGGAGGAACGGAGAGGUGCACGGAAUUCCCGGUGUAGGGGUGAAAUCCAUAGAUAUCGGGAGGAACACCAAUGGCGAAGGCAGUGCACUGGACGUUUCCUGACGCUGAGGUGCGAAAGCGUGGGGAGCGAACGGG